rnacentral:rRNA from 1 species
AGCGAACGCUGGCGGCAGGCUUAGCACAUGCAAGUCGAGCGGGCAUCCUUGUGGUGUCCGCGGCAGACGGGUGAGUAACGCGUGGGAACGUGCCCUUCGGUUCGGAAUAACUCAGGGAAACUUGAGCUAAUACCGGAUACGUGCGAGAGCAGAAAGGUUUAUCUGCCGAAGGAUCGGCCCGCGUCUGAUUAGCUAGUUGGUGAGGUUAUGGCUCACCAAGGCGACGAUCAGUAGCUGGUCUGAGAGGAUGAUCAGCCACACUGGGACUGAGACACGGCCCAGACUCCUACGGGAGGCAGCAGUGGGGAAUAUUGGACAAUGGGGGCAACCCUGAUCCAGCCAUGCCGCGUGAGUGAUGACGGCCUUAGGGUUGUAAAGCUCUUUUCUCCGGGACGAUAAUGACGGUACCGGAGGAAUAAGCCCCGGCUAACUUCGUG